rnacentral:rRNA from 1 species
GUGUCAGCAGCCGCGGUAAUACAGAGGUCUCAAGCGUUGUUCGGAUUCAUUGGGCGUAAAGGGUGCGUAGGUGGUGCUGUAAGUCAGGUGUGAAAUCUCGGGGCUCAACCCCGAAACUGCACUUGAUACUGCAGUGCUCGAGGACUGGAGAGGAGAUCGGAAUUCAUGGUGUAGCAGUGAAAUGCGUAGAUAUCAUGAGGAAGACCGGUGGCGAAGGCGGAUCUCUGGACAGUUCCUGACACUGAGGCACGAAGGCUAGGGGAGCAAACGGGAUUAGAUACCCCGGUAGUCC